rnacentral:rRNA from 1 species
UAGGUGGGGUGUGUAAGCGCGGCGACGUGUUGAGCUAACCCAUACUAAUUACCCGUGAGGCUUAACCAUACAACACCCAAGAAGUGUUCUG